rnacentral:rRNA from 1 species
UUGAAGGGAAACGAUUGAAGUCAGUCGUACCGGUGGGUAAUCAGCCUUUCGGCGUGAUUAUGUGGAGCGUGAGGAGUUAAACGCCCUCAUGGCCUGCAUAUUCGUGUUCUUUGGGUGUACUUACCCGCAUGGUAGGUUAACAUCAAUUUCGAACGUCAUAAAAUGAUUGGUGGAAUGUAGCUUCGGUCUCGUAUUGAAGUGUUAUAGCCCCUGAUAGAUGUAACGAUUGAGAUUGAGGAUUGCAACGAAUACCUUUCGAGGCUAUUCGCCUGAUCUCUGGAAGUCACUUUGGUGUCGAAAGCGUGCUUUCGCCGUUAAGGAUGGCGACCAAAAGGUUAGAGCGUGAUUAAAUUCGUUAAGGAUGUUGACGUAAAUCAC